AAUAAGUACAGUUUUGCACUGUUCAUGUCUAAUGUUUGACAGUUCGUCUUAUUUGAAUUUUUUUACGAUUAAUAUUUUUAUUGUUACGAGAUGAUAAAACAUGAAUAUUAUUUUAUGUGUGACUAAUUUUUUUUAAUUUUCUCAUAAAUUUUUCAAAUAAAACGGGUGGUCAAACGUUGGACACGAAUUCCAAUGGCUGCACUUAUU
rfam:Oryza meridionalis cultivar OR44 (W2112) chromosome 4, whole genome shotgun sequence.